rnacentral:tRNA from 1 species
GGGGCAGUAGCUCAGUUGAUAGAGCGCCUCGUUCGCAACGAGGAGGUCGCCGGUUUGAAUCCGGUCUGCUCCA